rnacentral:rRNA from 1 species
AACGAACGCUGGCGGCAUGCCUAACACAUGCAAGUCGAACGAGACCUUCGGGCCUAGUGGCGCACGGGUGCGUAACGCGUGGGAACCUGCCCGUAGGUUCGGAAUAACUCCCCGUAAGGGGUGCUAAUACCGGAUAAUGUCUUCGGACCAAAGAUUUAUCGCCUUUGGAUGGGCCCGCGUUGGAUUAGCUAGUUGGUAGUGUAAAAGCCUACCAAGGCGACGAUCCAUAGCUGGUCUGAGAGGAUGAUCAGCCACACUGGGACUGAGACACGGCCCAGACUCCUACGGAAGGCAGCAGUGGAGGAUAUUGGACAAUGGGCGAAAGCCUGAUCCAGCAACGCCGCGUGAGUGAUGAAGGCCUUAGGGUUGUAAAGCUCUUUUACCCGGGAUGAUAAUGACAGUACCGGGAGAAUAAGCUCCGGCUAACUCCGUG